ACCUUUACCCGGCUACUCGCUUCCGAGCCGCCCAAACGGACAACCCGAUUCUCGAUAACGAAGCCUU
rnacentral:tRNA from 1 species